CCUUAAGACUUAAACUAUCCCUUCAUUUAAGGAUACAUAUCACAUUCAUUCGUCAAUUAUACACUAACACAACAACACAAAACAAAAUUCAUCUUUCUUCCUUUAUUUUUUCUUAAUUUUUUUAUUAUUCAUUUUCAAACCCUGAUUUUAAUUUUCCCAUUUUUUCUAUUAUUAUUUUGAAUCUAGGUGCUCCCUCACUUCCUC
rnacentral:lncRNA from 1 species